AUAUACGACCGUACCGCAAACCGACACUGGUGCGCGAGAUGAGUAUUCUAAGGCGCUUGAGAGAACUCAGGAGAAGGAACUCGGCAAAUUGACACCGUAACUUCGGAAGAAGGUGUGCCCUAUUAGUGUGUAGUGAACAACGAAGCAUGAAUGGGUUGCAAAAAAUCGGUGGCUGCGACUGUUUAUUAAAAACACAGCACUCUGCAAACACGAAAGUGGACGUAUAGGGUGUGACGCCUGCCCGGUGCUGGAAGAUUAAAUGAUGGGGUGCAAGCUCUUGAUUGAAGUCCCAGUAAACGGCGGCCGUAACUAUAACGGUCCUAAGGUAGCGAAAUUCCUUGUCGGGUAAGUUCCGACCUGCACGAAUGGCGUAACGAUGGCCACACUGUCUCCUCCUGAGACUCAGCGAAGUUGAAAUGUUUGUGAUGAUGCAAUCUCCCCGCGGAAAGACGGAAAGACCCCAUGAACCUUUACUGUAGCUUUGUAUUGGACUUUGAACAGAUCUGUGUAGGAUAGGUGGGAGGCUUUGAAGCAGGGUCGCUAGAUCUUGUGGAGCCAACGUUGAAAUACCACCCUGGUGUGUUUGAGGUUCUAACCUAGGUCCAUUAUCUGGAUCGGGGACAGUGCAUGGUAGGCAGUUUGACUGGGGCGGUCUCCUCCCAAAGCGUAACGGAGGAGUUCGAAGGUACGCUAGUUACGGUCGGACAUCGUGACGAUAGUGCAAUGCAUAAGCGUGCUUAACUGCGAGACUGACAAGUCGAGCAGAUGCGAAAGCAGGACAUAGUGAUCCGGUGGUUCUGUAUGGAAGGGCCAUCGCUCAACGGAUAAAAGGUACUCUGGGGAUAACAGGCUGAUACCGCCCAAGAGUUCAUAUCGACGGCGGUGUUUGGCACCUCGAUGUCGGCUCAUCUCAUCCUGGGGCUGUAGCCGGUCCCAAGGGUAUGGCUGUUCGCCAUUUAAAGAGGUACGUGAGCUGGGUUUAAAACGUCGUGAGACAGUUUGGUCCCUAUCUUCCGUGGGCGCUGCAGAUUUGAGGAAGCCUGCUCCUAGUACGAGAGGACCGGAGUGGACACACCUCUGGUGUAUCGGUUGUCACGCCAGUGGCAUUGCCGAGUAGCUAAGUGUGGAAGAGAUAACCGCUGAAAGCAUCUAAGCGGGAAACUCGUUUCAAGAUGAGAUCUGCCGGGGCCUUGAGCCCCCUAAAGAGUCGUUCAAGACCAGGACGUUGAUAGGUCAGGUGUGGAAGCCAAAAAAGAAG
rnacentral:rRNA from 1 species